GCCUAGUAGCGUAGUGGUUAUCGCGUCUCCUGUGGGUUAUGGAACUCCCACGACCAACCGCGAGCAGAGCCUUGUUCGAAUCAAGGACUGGGCA